rnacentral:rRNA from 1 species
UACGUAGGGCGCAAGCGUUAUCCGGAAUUAUUGGGCGUAAAGAGCUCGUAGGUGGCUCGUCGCGUCGGGAGUGAAAACCCGCGGCUUAACCGCGGGCCUGCUUUCGAUACGGGCGGGCUAGAGUUCGGCAGGGGAGACUGGAAUUCCUGGUGUAGCGGUGGAAUGCGCAGAUAUCAGGAGGAACACCGGUGGCGAAGGCGGGUCUCUGGGCCGAUACUGACACUGAGAAGCGAAAGCGUGGGGAGCGAACAGG